rnacentral:rRNA from 1 species
AAGGGCGUAUGGGGAAUGCCUAGGCUCUCAGAGGCGAUGAAGGACGUGAUAAGCUGCGAAAAGCUGCGGGGACUGGCACACACAGAUUGAUCCGCAGGUAUCCGAAUGGGGCAACCCGCUAUAUUGAAGAUAUAGCACACCGAUAGGUGGGCAA